UAACAAUUGGAUCCUAAUUAUCUUAAAAGAAACAAUAAAACCUUUGAUUGGAAACUUUAUGUAUUAAAAAAGACCCUAAUUAUUAUGUUGUUAUUUUUGUGAUGCAGAGGAUUGAACCUAGGGCCUCACAAAUGCUGAACACAUACUCUACCAAUGAGCUGCACCCUUACCCCUAUUUAUUGUACUCUAGCUGAGGAUGUAGGUCAGUGGUAUAGCACUUGUAUAGUAUGUUCAGGGCUCUGGGUUUUAAUCCUCAGUAUCAAAAAACCCAUAAAAAUUCAUGAAACAAACAGCAUCUUUUCCCUAUUCUGAGUAUACUAAACAUAUAUGUUAAGGAUAUUUAAGUAUUUAUUAAAAUUCUCUUGCAUAACAUUCAGAUAGUAGCUUUUAAGAUCACCUUUUUCCUUGUGCACUGUGAAUUGGCACCCUAAGUUUAAAAUAGUUGCAAGUGCUGUACAAGACUAUUUGUAAAUAUUCUCAACAUAUUAUCUUUAAAUAUUCAAUGUUAUAAAAAAGGUAGGCACCACUGAACUAAAGAUUACAUUUCCUUUUACUUCUUUUGUCCUCCCAAUUACAUAUUAGCUAAUUCUUGGAAUCCUCCCUCCCAUUGUUUGUAUUCUGAAAAACCCCUUGUUUUGUACUACUGGUAUGACAGCUUCAGUUUGUUUGUAAUGAAUAUUUUGCCGUUAUACAUAGGCAAAGUAUAUAUGGCUCUUUUCAUCAAGUUACCAUGAAUCUUAACAGGAGGUCCUUGUGCAGCUUGAGAGCCAUAAAUACACUUUGAGAUAAUACAUGCAAAGUUCUAAAUAGAAUGUAGGCAGUGAAAUAGUACUUAUUCACAGUACAGUUAAAUUUUCUCUCAUAUGAAGCAUUUUCAGUUAUAUGCAAAAUGAAACAUUUUAUGCCAGUAUUAAUAGUGAUGGCUGUAUGAAUUAAGUAUUGAUUUUUUUAUGAAUAAAUUUUUAUUGAUCUCAAGAGUAUGACAGUUUCUCAGUAGUAUAUUAUAAAUGUCCUAUUAUCAGAGUCAUAUCUGAGUUUUAUAAUUCUUUUCAAUAAAAUUUAUCAUUUUGUAGGAAAAAAUGGAUAGUGCUUUAGACAAGACUUAAAAAAUAUUUGGUCUUCACCCCUUUUGCAGGGAUUGGAUGUUAUCAAAGCAUUUGUCCUUGGUUGUUAUGAAGUCUUUCAGAAGAAACACAGAAUGGCUUAUUGAAUACUUGAAAAAUAUAAUGCAGCCACUAUCUUUCAAAUGGAAAUCAAUUCAGAACACAUACAAUUUGUUUUCACAAAUCUGUUGAAAUCAGAAGUAAAAUUUCUUAUAGUUUUUAAAGUUGAAUAACAGCAAUUCUCAAAACAUUUAAGAAAUAGAGAAUAUUAUGGGUUUUUAAAAAUUAAGCACAAAAAUAUGGAAGUACUAUGAU
rnacentral:lncRNA from 1 species